UACAGAGGGUGCGAGCGUUAAUCGGAAUUACUGGGCGUAAAGCGUGCGUAGACGGCUAUCUAAGUCGGGUGUGAAAGCCCCGGGCUCAACCUGGGAAUUGCAUUCGAGACUGAAUAGCUAGGGUACGGUAGAGGGAAGCGGAAUUUCCGGUGUAGCGGUGAAAUGCGUAGAUAUCGGAAAGGAACAUCAGUGGCGAAAGCGGCUUCCUGGACC
rnacentral:rRNA from 1 species